CUGGUGUGCUCAGAGCAGGCUUCUAGCAAACCAUAGAGUGCCUGUUUAUACCACACCAGAGAAUAACAUGGGGUCAGGGGCCAAUCAGAGCCCAGCAAGG